UACAGAGGGUGCGAACGUUGUUCGGAAUCACUGGGCAUAAAGCGCUCGUAGGCGGCACCGCAAGUGUGGGGUGAAAUCCCACGGCUUACCCGUGGAACUGCCUGGCAGACUGCGGUGCUAGAGGUUGGUAGGGGAGAGCGGAACUCUUGGUGGAGCGGUGAAAUGCGUAGAUAUCAAGAGGAACACCGGUGGCGAAGGCGGCUUUCUGGUCCAAUCCUGACGCUGAGGAGCGAAAGCUAGGGGAGCAAACGGG
rnacentral:rRNA from 1 species